rnacentral:rRNA from 1 species
UUCGGGGGGACGACGGUGGAAUGAGCGGCGGACGGGUGAGUAACACGUAAAGAACCUGCCCAUAGGUCUGGGAUAACCACGAGAAAUCGGGGCUAAUACCGGAUGUGUCAUCGGACCGCAUGGUCCGCUGAUGAAAGGCGCUCCGGCGUCACCCAUGGAUGGCUUUGCGGUGCAUUAGCUAGUUGGUGGGGUAACGGCCCACCAAGGCGACGAUGCAUACCCGACCUGAGAGGGUGAUCGGCCACACUGGGACUGAAACACGGCCCACACUCCUACGGGAGGCAGCAGUAGGGAAUCUUCCACAAUGGACGAAAGUCUGAUGGAGCAACGCCGCGUGAACGAUGAAGGCUUUCGGGUCGUAAAGUUCUGUUGUAAGGGAAGAACAAGUGCCGCAGGCAAUGGCGGCACCUUGACGGUACCUUGCGAGAAAGCCACGGCUAACUACGUGCCAACAGCCGCGGUAAUACGUAGGUGGCAAGCGUUGUCCGGAAUUAUUGGGCGUAAAGCGCGCGCAAG